AAAAUAAAUAACCGGGAGUUCGUUUUCGUUCUCCCGGGAUAUUUGUAUUCAAAUUUCCACUCUUUAUAAAUAUAACAAUUAUAAAACAAUAAAAAAUGA
rnacentral:misc_RNA from 1 species